CAGAGGGAAGAUUCUCUCUAUCUCUCCCCCACACUCCCUCCCUCCCUCACUCUCUCUCUCUCUCUCACACUCGCUAGGUCGCAUUCCCACAGUCGGAGGAGAGCAGUUUGCCUGUGAGAAGUUUCUGGAACUCUCUGCCCGCUCCUGGCAGUCAUGACAAGUUACACCAUCAUCUACUUUCCGAUCCGAGGCCGCUGCUCGGCGAUGAGGAUGCUUCUCGCCGACCAGGCUCAGGACUGGACCGAGGAGGUCAUCACGAUGGAGCAGUGGACGGACGGAGCCUUAAAGAAGUCCUGCGUGAGUGGCCACGCGGGA